GCAUCCACAACAUUCAAUAUGUUCCUAGUAUCGAGGACAUUGAAUUUUAUGAAAGUGUGGAGGAUGAACAUGCAAGGGAGGAAGGUGCUAGUACAAUUGAUCAGCCUGAAAUGCCAUCUACGUCUAAAUCAUCUAAAGCUUCAAAGAAUUCAAGGGUAGGUAAUGCCGGCAAAAGUAAAGCAGCAAAAUAAGAGCUGCAAGUUGGAGUUGUCAUGGAGUUCUAGACCUGUUGAGCAUGGGAGCCGGCCGAGCAGCAAUUUGUGAUUUUGUGCAAAACGGGAGGAUUGUGUUCAUGUUUCUGUUGCAGUUGU